GACAUAGGUGGCAAACGUUAUCCGGAAUUAUUGGGCGUAAAGAGCUCGUAGGCGGUUUGUCGCGUCUGCUGUGAAAUCCCGAGGCUCAACCUCGGGUCUGCAGUGGGUACGGGCAGACUGGAGUGCGGUAGGGGAGAAUGGAAUUCCUGGUGUAGCGGUGGAAUGCGCAGAUAUCAGGAGGAACACCGAUGGCGAAGGCAGUUCUCUGGGCCGUAACUGACGCUGAGGAGCGAAAGCGUGGGGAGCGAACAGG
rnacentral:rRNA from 1 species